rnacentral:lncRNA from 1 species
UGGGUGUGUUCUGUUUUCUUGGACAGGUGCCUUAUUUUUCCGGCGAGGAUUUCCGGCAAGCUACAGUACUUCCGGCGACUCCUGUUCAGACUUUUGGCAGGAGGCAAUAGAACUAAACGUUCCUAUAAGCUUCAGGAGAACUUGGGCGCAUCAAAGCCUACUUUCAGGUUUUUCCACCGGGAGUUGGUACCUCCCGCUAUCUUGUUUACUUUGUACACCUUUUUACGUA